rnacentral:rRNA from 1 species
UACGGGGGGGGGCAAGCGUUGUUCGGAAUUACUGGGCGUAAAGGGCUCGUAGGCGGCCAACUAAGUCAGACGUGAAAUCCCUCGGCUUAACCGGGGAACUGCGUCUGAUACUGGAUGGCUUGAAUCCGGGAGAGGGAUGCGGAAUUCCAGGUGUAGCGGUGAAACGCGUAGAUAUCGUAAGGAAGACCAGUGGCGAAGGCGGCUCACUGGCCCGAUACUGACGCUGAGGCACGAAAGCGUGGGGAGCAAACAGG